AUCCAACUGUGGAACUCAAGGACAGAGACAUGGUAUAAAUACAGCUGCUGAAGGUCUUCUUUUCUCACACCAGUGACUUCAUCCUUGAAAGCACCCAAAAGAAGCCAAAAUGAAAUUUCAGAUUCUUGCUACUGUUCUUCUUGUCUUUCUCCUUUGUCCACAGGACGCUGAAUUGGUAAGAUCCUUUUUUGACUGAUCAAUGUCUUUAGCCCAAAUUAAUUGUGAGUAUUUGUACUAAUAACUGUCAUUUGCUUUCUAGACCACACAAGGGACAUGACUUUUGUGAAGACCCUGGACCACAAUAACAAUGCCUUGCUGUUCUUAUUACACUUACUGCUCUGUGCUAACGCAAGCAAAUCAAGUGAUUAUAGAAAAUCUCAAAUUGUAGUGGUGCCAUCUAGAUAAAUUCUUGAUUCAAUGCUGACUGUGUUGCCUUUAAAACAAAGGGCUUAGAAUGUUAAGAACCGUUCUAUUAUAGCCCUAAAGCAGGGAUGGAUUAACCAUUUGUCAAGCAAUCUUUUAUCUUUCUAUGACUGUCUCUGUUUAUCUGAAUAUAACUGCCAUGCUUUAAAAUGUUACUAACCCUGAACUAAGCUAAGGCACAUCAAAGUAGAGAACUAGCCAGCGCCUUUUUCGCACCUCUUUCGCUUUUAAUAACAAAUGCAGGAAUUUGUUCUUUGAAGAUAAAGCCUCCAGGGACAUGUUCCCAGGCCAGGCCUGGGCCCAGGAAGAAUAACCGCAGGGAGAUAAAGAAAGUACUGUGUGAAUUUUCACACGUGAAUACAGGACUGUUUAGUAAUUGUAGCUUUGUUUAUAGAACCUUUGAUGUGCCACCUUUAAGUAUGCAUUCUACUGCUACUCUGUAUCGGUUCCAAUACUUGGCUCAAUUGAAGCACAUGAAUUAUCAAUAAACCAUACUUUGUUUCAA